AGUUUGAUCCUGGCUCAGGAUGAACGCUGGCGGCGUGCCUAACACAUUCAAGUCGAACGGACUUGUUUCCUUCGGGGAACAAGUUAGUGGCGGACGGGUGAGUAAUGCAUGAGCAACCUGCCUCAAAGAGGGGAAUAACACAGAGAAAUUUGUGCUAAUACCGCAUAAUGUGCAGAAGAGGCAUCUCUUUUGCAAGAAAGGAGCAAUCCGCUUUGAGAUGGGCUCAUGUCUGAUUAGACAGUUGGCGGGGUAACGGCCCACCAAAUCUACGAUCAGUAGCCGGACUGAGAGGUUGAACGGCCACAUUGGGACUGAGACACGGCCCAGACUCCUACGGGAGGCAGCAGUGGGGAAUAUUGGACAAUGGGCGAAAGCCUGAUCCAGCGACGCCGCGUGAAGGAAGAAGGUCUUCGGAUUGUAAACUUUAGUGAGCAGGGACGAUAGUGACGGUACCUGCAGAGCAAGCCACGGCUAACUACGUGCC
rnacentral:rRNA from 1 species